UUUUUUUUUUUGUUUAGGGUGCGUCCUAAAGCUUGGCGGCUGUUGACUCUUUUUUAUCUCUGUAUAACCAGACAACUCUUAACAGCUCAAAGGAAGGUACAAAAUAAUCAUUGAAUCAUUAAGGUUGGCAAAGAUGUCCAAAAUCAUCAAGUCCAACCUUUGAGUGAAUAACACCAUGCCCACUAAUCCAUAUUGCAAGAUAUCACAAAGUGCCACAUCCGCUCACUUUUUUGAACACUUUCCAGGAUGGUGACUCCACCACAUCCCUGGGGAGCCUUUUCCAAUGUUUAACCAUUCUUUCAGUGAAGAAAUUGUUCCUGUUACCUGACCUGGACCUCCCCUGUGCAAUAUGAGGUUGUUUCCCCUAUUGCUGGCUGCCUGGGAGAAAAGACAGACCCUCAUCUGGCUGCAAUCUCCUUUCCGGGGGUUGUAGAGAGUGAUAAGGUCAUCCCUGAGCCUCCUUUUCUCCAGGCUAAGCAACCCCAUCUCCCCCAGGUGCUCCUCAUAGGAUUUGUGCUCCAGACCCUUCUCCAGUUUUGUUGCCCUUCUCUGAACUCGCUCCAGCAUCGCAAUGCCCUUCUUGACGUGAGGGGACUGAAAUAGAGCACAGGAUUGCUCAGUGCAGCCUCACCAGUGCCGAGUACAGAUGACAAUCACUGCCCUAGUCCUGCUGGCCACAUUAUUUUUGAUACAGGCCAGGAUGCCAUUGGCCUUUUUGGCCUCCUGGGCACACGCUGGCUCGUGUUCAGCCACUGUUGACCAGCACGUCCAGGUCCUUUUCCGCUGGGCAGCUUUCCAGCCACUCCGCCCCCAGCCUGGAGCGCUGUGUGGAGUUGUUGUGACCCAAGUGCAGGACCCACCUGGCACUUUGCCUUGUUAACCUCACACUAUUGGCCUCAGCCUGUUGCUCCAGCCUGUCCAGAUGCCUCUGCAGAACCUUCCUACCUUCCAGCAGAUUGACAGUCCCACACAAUGUAGUGUAGUCUGCAAACUAAGGGUGCACUCAGUCUUUUCAUGCAGAUCAUUGACAAAGAUAUUAAGUAGGACCUGCCCCAAAACUGAUCCCCAGGGAACACCACUAGUGACCAGCCUUCAGUAGGAUGUAACUCCAUUCCCCACCACUCUCUGGGCUCAGCCCUCCAGACAGUUUUUUACCCAGUGAACAGUGCACUCAUGAGCAGGCAGUUCCUCCAAGAGAACUGGGGAAACAGUGUCAAAGGCUUUGACUGAAGUCCAGGUAAACAACAUCCACAGCCUUUCCCUCAUCCACCAGGUGAGUCAGCCUGUCAUAGGAAGAGGUGAGGCCAGUCAAGCAGGACCUGCCUCAUGAACCCCCUGCUGACUGGGCCUGAUUCCCUUGGUUGUCCUGCAUGCACUGUGUCAUUGCACCCAAGAUAAUCUAAAUACCAACAUUUAAAAAAGGUCAACACAUAAAUUUCAUAAUUUGCUCUUGUUGCUGUAUCUUGUCUUUAGUGGUCCAGGAGAAAAUAACUAUAAUCCACUGCUGCAAUGUACACCUUUUUGCUGGUUGAUUAAAGAAACAAAUGGUAGAUACUUUUCGAUAAAAAUUCUGUUCAUUCCUUUGUAAAUGGACCAUGUUCUGUUUUCUUUCAUAACCCGUGCCAUUCUGUGAAUUCAAUAUAUUAUGAAGGUUCUAGCUUUUAUAGUGGUGUUAAUAAUAAAAAUCUGUUAUUUUAAUGGUAGUUUUUACUCAAAGAAGUCCAGAGGAGCACAACUCUUUACUAAAGAAAUGCCCGAGUCCUUUACUGUCACGCUUGUGGUCUGUGCUACUUACCUGCUACCAUUACUGCUUCCUCUCUGUUUUUCUUCCUUUUCUUUCCUUAUUUAUUUACUUUUCUGGAUAAUCUAUAAGAAUUCCUUGCUUGUUUUUAUCCUGUUUAAUUCGGUCUGUUUCAUAUGUCUGUAACUGAAUGUUCACACCAAAGGGUAACAAGGUGCCCAGAUUUGACAGUCCUGUGCCAGAAACUAUACUGGACUUUUGAACAGCCAAGGUAGUUGUGGAGGCUCAAUAAAUUGUCAUCUGAGUUGGAUUCAGCUUGUAAGCCUGGCCUCUUAACUGCUGUCAUGCUAUCCCUGCUUCAGGAUGAAUGGAUUUGUUGGUGACCUGGAAAUAUAAUGUAAGACUGGCAAGUGUAGUACAGCAUACUGCUAGGAGAUAUUUAAUUUUGGAACUUACUGAAUGUGAGGUGGGUGUCAGGCAUUUUUAUCUCUUUCUUUAAUUCCUUUUUUAGGUCAGGAUCUUAGAAACUAGGCUGAGAAUUUGGGGUCAACAGUGAAACUGUUGCUGCUCUGAAGUUGCUUGGAACUCCCACGGGCCGUCUAACAUAAUGCCCUCUCAUUUCUUGGUUUCACUUAAUUCUUUUGCAUCACAAUAUCUCAGCAUUAGUAUGAUCAUAAGAAACUCAGAGGUGGAUUUAUUUUCUUUGUAUUUGAUUUGAAGUCUUGUGCUGGAGAGCUGCUAAUUCCAAGGAGGAAGUGUUUGGGAGAGUUGCUCUCUCUGUGCCUGAAUGCUUCUAUGCAAAGUGAGCGCCCAGUAGUUGCUUUGCAUAAAACAACACAGAAGUCACCAAGUUGUUUUAAUGUUACUUUCUAAAUUUUGGGAGUUAGUCUGCACUAUUACUAGCUCUUAUAUUAAGUUCAGUCUUGUUUUCAGGUAGCUGUUGGAAUAUCUCAGUUCUAAGCAGAUUUCUGUAGUGUCUGCAAUAAAAAGCCUAAAGGGCGACUUUAAUUACUCCAAGUCAGACACAAAUGCCAAGUUCCCUAGGGAUCUUAUCAAUAUCUCCUUUACAAGUUUCCUUUUGUAAUGUAUAAAUUGGAUAUUUCUGUUAAAUACCCUGGAAGAUAAUCAGUGACGUGUUUUUCUUGAUUCACAGACUCCUCUUGGGCUGACACAACUUCUCUGUGUUGGGUAGUUUGUUUGAGUGUGGGUUUUUUUUCUUCUAAUUAGAUUUACCAAAAAGGCCAAGUAUAAGUAUAUUAAUACUGUUUCUGAACAGGGUAGAUAAGUGUUUUUCUUGCUGGUUUUUUUCCACUCAAAUCUUACUCUUGCUUUUCCUGUUUUAAAUUGUAUUUCUUCUGGUGUCUACAGAAACUUCAGGUAUGUCUUUCAUCUGUGCUUUAGUAAACUCCUUUUAGGCUUUAAUUGCUCUGGUAAGUCACAUAUGAAAAGUAUAAAUUAGAGUAGGUGAGAUCUUGCAUAUUUUUGUGACCAACAUUAAUUCAGAAAUUCAUUUAUUAAAGUGGCUUAAAGCCUCCUGAGCUUUGUGUGAAAUUAAUUUUAAACCACUGUGGAUGUGUCUCUGGAUGUGUCUGUGGCAUGUUCUAUUCAUGCAAAAGUGUUGUAGGGCUUGUUAACAUACACCAUCCUUUCUAGUUUGCCAACUUGCCUGCUGUUUGUUGAUGAAGAAUACAGUGCCAACCUCUGACAGCCAAAGCUCAAGUACUUUUUUUUAAAAAAAAAAAACAAACCAAAAUCAAACCAAACUCUUCACCAAGCUGGCAGUUCCUCAUUGUUAAAGUUUUGUGAAAAUGGCAAUACAUGGAGAAUGAGCUCGAAGGAGGACGAGGAGGAAGAAUUCUCUGCAACAGGUAAUUUUCAUCAGUCAUUAAUUUUGGUGGUAUGGAAAAGAAUGAGAAAAGAUGGAGAAGCAUAUUGUGUGCUUGUGGGAUAGGGAGGAGGGUCUUCUGCAUAGGCUUUUCUUAAAUAUUGACUGCCACCUUCUUCCAUCUCUUCUUAACACUUCCAUUCUUGUCUAGUUAUAGAAGUGGAUGAUGAAAACCAGCUUUUUGUGUAACUUGAGAGCUGAGUUGAUUAUCUUGAUAAUGCCCCCAGCUGAUGUGGCUUGGUUAACUGCUUUACUUGCCUGCUGUAGUUUCUUUCUUGUGGUAACAAAGAUAAUUAGUAAGGUAGGAGGUGUAGGAGCAUAUGCACAAAGCAGAACAUACAGGAGUGUUGCCAACAGCCCAUGAGGUGCCCUUGCAUCAAAUACACAAAUACAGAAACAUCUGGUGCAGAGGUGUGACAAGGCAGUUUGCGUGUUUAGGGCCGUUUACAAGGAUGAGCUUUGUUUGUCACUGCAGAAAGGAGUAAAUAAAUCUUGGACAGCUACUCCUGUAGAUGUACUAAACAGAUUAGAGAUCACUCUUGCCCCUUGUUGAAUUAAUUUAUUGUCUGGCUGUGGAUAAAAAUCAGAAUCUUUGAAACAUUAUAACUUUUUAAGCUGUCCAGGAGUUAAUUUUCAUUUGUAGUCACUCAUACACCCCCAUUGGAGAACUAAAUUUGAGAUUAGUCCUAAGGUGACAUUGGGGCUUGCUGGCAUUCAAACACAAUUUCUGCUUGUAUAAAAGCAGAAAACUAAUUGAAGGCUGACACUGUAAUUUAAGUCUCUGAACUACUGACAAAAAGAUCUUGCAUCAUGCAGAGAAGUAACAUACAAUCAAACAGACCUAGAAACAGGGUUCUGCUAAUGUAUGCUGAAGAACUACUUUGCUAUGGCAUGUCUUAGUGUGUACAAGCUGUUCUGUAUAAGCAGCUUCAGCUAAGAAUUGAGAUUCUGUUGCUAAUUUUGCUAAUUGCUAAUUUCCUUUUUUAUUUUCUAUCCACAGAUCAUGUCUUUCACUAAGAGGAAACUUGUCAAGAUAAUUGCCCUUAACUAUCGUACCUUGAAGGAGCACGUACAAAACUGAUCUUAAAGAAGAGAGAGUGAUUCGUAUUUGAAAUAACUACCAGAGAAGGAAAAAUCAAGGAACACAUUUUUGAGGAUAAACUACAGAAGAAAUAAAGACUUAAGUCCAUUAAGAGGCUAUCGUUAAUCAGUAAAAAGGCACAGCUGGUGGAAGGAGAAAAAGAGUACUUGGUAGAGAAGAAAACUGCAGAGAACACUUCGGUUCUUAAAGGAACACAUGUCAUGUAGACUUUUGAACUACUUCAGUGAUGUGUUCUGACUUCUCUCCAGGAAACAGGUGUUUCUGCAGUAUUCAGAAUUGGGUCAGCCUUCUGUUAGUAAGUUCUGGCCUGUUCCUUGCUCUGUGUUUAUUUCUAUCUACAAGUUGUGAUUUUGCGUCUGUUUAAGCAGGAAUAACUCAUAGGGCUCAUGGAAGAAAAUUGCAAGGCUAUUCUAAAAGGGCAAGGCUACUCAAAGGAUCUUUAAUAUUCCAGCCCCUUGUUCUAAUGGGGCAGGUGGAGAGAAGAGCAGCAGUCUGGUGGUGAUGCCCAGAUGCAGCUGAGGAAGGUGUGUUUUACACUAGGCGUAGGUACCAAGUAAAUCUGUUGUGGACUGUUGACUCUGUAAAAGCUGCAUUUCUUCAACAAACCAUGUAUCAUUCGUUUCUAAAUGUGCUGAUAGGGUGUAUAUGAGAGGAUAAUCUCACUCUGUGCGAGGUAUACUAAAUAUAUCUGGUAGGAAACACUAAUAUUAUAAUGAGGUUUUAAAAUUGACGAUCUUAUGAGUUGUAUAAGAACCUUGUUACUCUUGUAUAAAUCAACUACUUUAUCAGAGAUAAAAUGACAUCUUCUUGGAUUUUACAGUGGCUUUUGUCUUUAUAAAUGAGUAUCAUUAUCUUAAAACUAUAAAAUAAAGUUUCAGUGCAGUGUUAUUUUACUGAAUAAGGUGCAUAAUUCUGGUUAUGCUUUGCAGUAGCUCUCAAAUUUUGUUAGUGCGUCUAAUCACAAGGAGUAUUUUUCAACAUUCUUUAGAAUGCUGCCUCAUCCUAGUGUUAAACUUGGGUAAUUCUUUUUAUUAAAACUGUUCAGAUGAAAAUGUGUACCUGGUUUCUUUGCCUUUUCUUAAAGGGCUCUUUAGGUAUCUGAUGAAGUCUCGAAGCUGUGCUUCCCUCCCUCCUUUUUUCAUAACAUGCUAAUGUGGUUAUAGCUCUAACCUUCCAAUUUACUUACUGCCUACUACCCUUUAAACAGUUCUUUUUUUCUUAAGUGACACUCAGCCUACUUAGUGCUUGUGUUUCAGGGCUUAUCUUCUGUCUCAUGUGUACACAAACUGAUUGUAUUUGGGGACAAGUGACCUUCUUGUACUACUGCUCAGAAUAUGAUGAAAAAUUCCUGCCCCCAAGACUAAAUAAUUCAUCUUCAUCUCUGAAGAUCAAGGCUUUGGUAUAGAGCAACACCUUUGUGUUUGUGCAGGUCACAGCUGUGCAAACAGGAACCUUGGCAUGAAUAACUCAAAUAUUUGCACUAAAAAACCCUGCAACCAGCAGCAUUUAAGUUUUAGUAGACUUUUGGAUCCUUCUGUCAAGAUGAAAAUGCAGCAUAUCAGUGCCAGGUAUCCAAGAUCCAGCCCUGGAUAGCCUUCCAGUCUGGUGUUUUUCUUGCCUCUUCAUGACCUCGUGUCUUGAGCAGCCUAGCUGGAUCCCCUGGUUCCUGUUUCUUCUUGUUUCAAAAUUCUGCUUUUCCCCCAUUUUAAAUCCCCUACCCUUUCGUAUUCACAUACAGACACUUGCCUUUUGCUGCCUGUUUUGGUCUUUGCUGUUUUUCCUAAGACUUUGGUUGGGUUCCAUCCAAGAUUUUCCAUGUGGCACUGUUCUGCUGGAUUUCCUGCAGAAUACCUCAGUCAUGCUUCUGAAUUUUUAGGGACCUGAGGGUCCUUGUCCACAUUUCUUGUUCUACUACUUUGUCUCUCUCUGAGUAGGCAUUGCGGAAGAAGUUAAGGCUGUAUCUUCUGCUACUUUACUUAAAAAGCAAAUACAGGAACUUCUUUAAAGAAGCUACAGAGCUUGUGGAUUGUGGGGGAUAAGCAAAGUGAAAGUGUACUGGAGGUAAAAAAAAAAAAAAUUCAAACACGCCCCCCUCCCCAAGCAACACUUCUGCUCUCAGACAUGUUUAGAUUCACGAGAUGUUUGUUCUGCCCCUUUCUGUCCUAAUUAGGAAAUGCAGCCUCAUGCUUCCAGGCUGAAUGUAGUUCUUCCUUUUUCCACCCCCUUCCCCUCUUCUGUCAAGUUACCUCUGUAUUUCUGUUCCAUUUUGUAUUAUUUUGAUGAGCAAGUGCUCAGCUGUGGAAUCCCUUGCGCUCUACACCAGGAGAGAAUCACUGCUGAAUAGAACGUGUCUUAUACUCAUCUGAAACAUGUUUUAUUUUCUUGUGUAAAACACUCCCUUAAAAGGACUUUUUUUUUUUUUUUUUUUUUUUGGAAAUGGUUAUGAAUCUCUUCAGUUAUCUGGUCGCUCCUUUGCUAAUGGUUUCAAACAAGUGUGUGUGUAUUGUGAUCUUCUCUGGCUCAAAGUGAGGCAUUUGGGGGAAAAUACCAACUUUUAGUGUCUUUUGGCGUUCAUGUGUCAGCAGUUCAGGUUGAUUUCAGUGUGUGCAAAUUUAAAGUGUUGAUACCCUCAAAGUUUUAAUUUUUUGUGCUAUUGCUGUGUUGUAGUUUAGCAAGGACUAAAAAUAGUAGUUUGACUUUCCAUUCAGAUACAAACCAGGAACAUAUUAUCAUAAUACAUUACAAAAAUAAUUAAAUGUAAAGCUGUUAUGUCUGAAUUUCUGGUUGCGUAAAACACUUCUUUUGCUUCAUUCUUCCUGUGUGAAUCCUUUUUGGGGGGAAUGGGCAUGUGGCUCAGGGGGAAAAAAUAUACAAUGCUUUUCUUAUGGUAAUUGAGUAAGAUUUGUCAUCGGAAUUCGUAAGGACGUGUCUGUUUCUGUGUAUGAAAUAAAAUAGUAAAACAGGCUUUGUGAAGUUUUGAAAUUAAAUAUUUUUAACUUCAAACAUAGCAUUUGCUGAGUGUAUAAGUAGUGUGUUUGCUUUUUUGAGUUUAGAAUGUGGGAUUGAAGUUUUUACCAUAGUUGUGUGAACUGACAUUUUCAUGGGAAUUCUCAUCUGGGAGAUCUCUCAAUGGUUUCAUGUUUCUUUGUAUGUUUUGGUAACAUAGAUCUAUCCAAAUAAAACACUUCCCAUUGUUGGUGAGUCUAAAAGAUAUAUUUUUAUAAACAAUGUAACUUUAUUGCCUGAUACUUUUACAGUGCUGAAACUUUAAAGCUAAUUUGGGAAUAAUUGCAACUUUGUUCCUUUUUUUCUUG